GGACCUGCACAAGUGGUGGAACAUGCGGUUUAAUUCGAUGCUACGCGAAGAACCUUACCAACUCUUGACAUGGUGGUCGCGAGAUACAGAAAUGUAUCUUUUCAGUUCGGCUGGACCACACACAGGUGUUGCAUGGCCGUCGUCAGCUCGUGUUGUGAGAUGUUAGGUUAAGUCCUGCAACGAGCGCAACCCUUAUUUACAAUUGCCAUCAGGUAAUGCUGGGAACUAUGUAGAAACUGCCAAUAAAAAGUUGGAGGAAGGUGAGGAUGACGUCAGGUCAGCAUGGCCCUUAUGACUUGGGCUACACACGUGUUACAAUGGUAAUUACAAUGUGAAGCAAUAGGGUGACCUUGAGCAAAUCAGUAAAAUUAUCUAAGUUCAGAUUGUAUCCUGCAACUCGGAUACAUGAAGUUGGAAUCGCUAGUAA
rnacentral:rRNA from 1 species